GUUGAGGUCCAUCUUACCAAGGCAGGGAAUGUUGAGGUCCAUCUUACAAGGCAGGGAAUGUUGAGGUCCAUCUUACAAGGCAGGGAAUGUUGAGGUCCAUCUUACCAAGGCAGGGAAUGUUGAGGUCCAUCUUACAAGGCAGGGAAUGUUGAGGUCCAUCUUACAAGGCAGGGAAUGUUGAGGUCCAUCUUACCAAGGCAGGGAAUGUUGAGGUCUAUCUUACCAUGGCAGGGAAUGUUGAGGUCCAUCUUACAAGGCAGGGAAUGUUGAGGUCUAUCUUACAAGGCAGGUAAUGUUGAGGUCCAUCUUAC